rnacentral:pre_miRNA from 1 species
GGGGGGAGCUCCGGAUCUUGGGCUGUGUCCCUGGGGUGCCCUGGGCUCCGGGGGCCUGUGCCGCUGGAAUCGCGUUCCCACGGCUGCGCAGCCCCUU